rnacentral:lncRNA from 1 species
UUCUUUCAGGCCUGGGGUCCUAACAGCUUUAAUGGGUGUCAGUGGAGCUGGAAAGACUACUUUAAUGGAUGUUCUGGCAGGAAGGAAAACCGGUGGAUAUACUGAAGGAAACAUUACCAUUUCUGGAUAUCCAAAAAACCAAGAAACCUUUGCUCGCAUAUCAGGAUAUUGUGAGCAAACAGAUAUACACUCUCCACAUGUUACGGUUUAUGAGUCCUUGGUUUUUUCUGCAUGGUCUUCGGUUGUCCCCUGAGGUUGAUUCCCUAAACCAGUAAAGGUAGGUUCUUUCACCUUACUUUUGCUUUUGUUGGGGGUCAGAUCUUGAAGCAAAUGCUAGAACUAAAUCAAAAAUGCAUACAACAACCAUCAACUUCCAUGAUAUGUUCNUAAAGUCUUUGACCAUAAAAUUUGCACAUUGGUUUUGCAGAUGUUAUUGNGGGAAGUUCAUGGAAACUUGUGGGAACUGACCCCGAUAACGAGAUGCACUUGUUGGAUUGCUGGAGGUAUGGUCUUUCAACUUGAGCAGCGUAAAAGGCUCACGAUUGCAGUGGAGCUUGUUGCCAAUCCAUCCAUAGUAUUCAUGGAUGAGCCUACCUCUGGCCUUGAUGCCAGGGCAGCAGCAAUUGUAAUGAGAACAGUGAGGAAUACAGUGGACACCGGAAGAACUGUUGUCUGCACCAUCCAUCAGCCAAGUAUUGAUAUAGUUGAUGCUUUUGAUGAGGUUUGAACCCUUUAUAGGCUUUAGGAUUUCACAAUGUGCGUACGUUUUAAUGUUAAAAGGACUAAGAAGUUUGAACUCCAUUAAUUGCAGAUGUUCCUUCUGAAAUGGGGUGGUGAGGCAAUAUAUGUUGGCCCCUUAGGCUACCAUUCUUCUGACUUGAUCAAAUACUUUGAGGUUAGGCUUCUGAAUACAGGAAAUCAUCUGUCUGUGAUAUCUUAAACUCAAACUUUUUACUUAAUAUAUAUUCUCAUGUUCCACUAAAGGGAAUUAGCGGGGUUUCUAAGAUGAAGAAUGGUUACAAUCCUGCAACUUGGAUGUUGGAGGUUACUUCUGCAGUCCAAGAAGCUGCUCUGGGGAUUAAUUUCACAGACAUAUACAAGGAAUCGGAAGCAUACAGGUAGAUCAAACAUCCAUUAUAUUUUAGUACAAUAAGGAAACACUAAUGUUUAUCAGCUAACUAUGUGAAUGUUUAGGAGAAACAAGGCCUUGAUCAACGAACUAAGUACGCCUCCACAAAAUUCAAAAGACCUGUACUUCCCAACAAAAUACUCGCAAUCUUUUUAUACCCAGUGCAAAGCGUGCCUGUGGAAGCAACAUUUGUCUUACUGGAGAAACCCGCCAUACAGUGCAGUUAGACUUCUUUCCACAACAUUGAUAGCUUUAGUAUCCGGGACAUUAUUCUGGGGUCUUGGUUCCAGAAGGUACAUGCACUGAAAAAUAGGCAAUACAUUCUUGUGAUUAGUCCUUAAAAUGCUGCUGAAAAUAGAAGUCUAAUUCUAUAUCCUGGUUUAACGUCCCUAUGGAAUGCAGGCAAAAGAAGCAAGAUCUUUUUAACGCAAUGGGUGCUAUGUAUUCUGCUGUUCUGUUCAUUGGGCCACGAAAUGCCUCAACAGUGCAGCCAGUUGUAGGCAUUGAGCGAAUAGUCUUUUAUAGAGAAAGAGCUGCCGGAAUGUACUCUGCCUUGCCGUAUGCCUUAGGACAGGUAUGUCACAUUGUAAAAAUGCUUAAUGAAUCCAAGCCACCAAUUUAUGUACGCACUUGAACAUUGAGUUGAUGAACAUGCAUCAUGCAUGGAAGCAACCCACAUACUGUUUUGUACUUUCACUUUGGUAUCUCACCAAUUUCCAUUCGCCUUACCAGCUUGGCGUUGAGCUCCCAUACACUUUGAUCCAAGCCAUCAUAUAUGUGGUUAUAGUGUACAGCAUGAUCGGAUUUGAGUGGACGGUCAGCAAGUUCUUUUGGCAACUAUUCUUCAUGUUCUUCACUUACCUAUACUAUACUCUGUAUGGCAUGAUGAGUGUGGUCAUCACUCCCAACCUUGCCGUUUCCGCUGUAGUUUCCACGGCAUUGAACCCACUGUGGAACGUUUUUUCAGGAUAUAUCAUUCCCAAAUCAGUAAGUAACUAAGUAUUACGUGUGGCAGAUGAUCAUUAUGCACGCUAAUAUGUUCACUUAACACAUCAACCUAUGAAUCACAGUUCACAAACUUGUUGUUUCUUGGUGACAGAGAAUUCCAAUAUGGUGGAGAUGGUUCUACUGGUCAUGCCCGGUCUCUUGGAGCUUGUACGGAUUGAUUGGUUCACAGUUCGCAGGCAUUGAGGACAGGCUUGAUUCCGGCGAAACCGUGGAAGCUUUUACCAGGAGUUAUUUUGGGUACAGAGAAGACUUUCUCAAUGUUGUUGCGAUAGUGCUUGUAGCUAUUUCAGUGCUCUUUGGAUCCGUCUUUGCUUUUUCAAUCAAAGCCUUUAAUUUUCAGAAGAGAUGAAAAGGUGGUAUAUAAUCUGUAUUCCUUGUAAUGCAAAUGAUGCUUGAUUUUAUCUAAUCGAAGUGUUGCUCAAGUCUAUCAUCGAUCACAACAUUACUUAGGGAGUACAUGACUGCAUUACAGCAUAUUUUUCCUUACUGUGAAUAGGCUAACCAUAUUCAAUUAGACCUAUUGGCCAAGAAAUUGUUUAGUAGAAACGUGAUUAAUAAGAUAAGAAUUGGACCAAUACUUUGAGAGAAAAGAAUAGGAGCAUAUAGCAGACAGCUGAACCUAUUGGAUCCUUUUCCCAUGAUCCUCUGCACCAUAUAUUCUUGUACUCCUGUCAUGUAUUGUUAGGCACUUCAUGCUCAUUACCAAACUCUUGUCGUCGUACUUCUUUCUUUUUCUUUUCCUUUGCCUUUCAAGGUUUUUCUUUUCUGAGUUGACUGUUUCACUUUGGUUAUUGGGUUAAAUUGAAAAGGGUAACCUGUGAUGCAAUUGACACUUUGAUCUUGUGAAAGGUCUAGGCCAAAAAAGGAAAAAUAGAUUCACAAUCUUUUUGAUUAAAAUAGGUUUCUCAAACGAAUAGAACAUUUCACGGAGUGCUAUACAAAUAUGAAAGACACACUUGAUACCACUAUCUUUUUAAUUUCCUACGAUCCACGACAUCACAUUGAGCUUGGACGAGUCUAGUGAUAGUUGAUGAUGGAAAAAUCCGCUAUAAGUAUUGAAGACUUACAAAUCCAAUAUUUCAUAUUGAAUGUUAUGUUGCAAUCCUCCAAGAGGACUCAACAAUGUCGUGUGUCACAUCCCAAGGGAUUGACGAUCUCAGUUCAAUCCCGCGCUUCGGAUUGAAAAUGUAUUAAGAUCUUGUACUUCAGAUAAUAACAUGCCAUGUCAUAUUCUAGGGAUGAUGUGAUUCUAUACUUCGUUAUUUAUGGAUUCAAACCAUAUAUAAAUAACAAAACUCGAAAAUUUUCAUUUCUUUGAAAUUUUUCGAAAUUGUACCAACGAUUAUAUCAAGGUCUUUAGUAGGAUCAUGUAAUUCCUUUAUCAUAAGUUCAUAACCAUUACUUGUCAAUGCUCAUGAAAUUGCUAUAUCAUAGCUAUUUCGAUUUCCUUUGUGAUGCUCAUGAAAGUACUUCAUAGCAAUUUUCUGAAUUAGUGCUUUGUCGAUCUACAACGAUAACAAGGUUCAUUAAUUACUAUGACCGACUUUGCCUCCGCCUCAUGUCUACACAUUGGCACGACCUCUCGGGCUUUGUGCCAUGACCCACGUUGCCUUCACCACACACUGGAAGACUUUCCCAUGUGCGCAAGUUAAAUACAUCCAUUCCCUUAUUCUUUAGGGGCAUUUGGAUCAUGAUUUUUCUGUGUCGUGUAAAUUUAAUCUUGCAUGAAAGCUUAACAUUGCUUUGUUGAAAAUCAUGGUAGUCGAAUAAAUGGACUCUUUGCCACUUGACUAGUAACUCAACGAGUAGAGUUGUGGACAUUUGAAGAAACGCUCCAUAAAUACUUCCCACGGUACUUCGGGGUUUUACUUUUUGCACAUAUUUAUGUUAAAGGCAUUGGUUGAUGUGACGCCUCAAUCAUAUGAGCACUGGAGACUUUAAUCUCGGUAUUUAGGCUUCAUAGCCUUGAGGUCUAUAAUUGUGCUGUAACACUUUCUAAUGAAAGUUUCACAUCGGAAACCCAUAUAUGACAUUCCUUGUGAAUCCAUGAUGUUAAAUUUCUAACAAAUAGGUUGAUAGCCAACUCAAAAAGAAAAUUGAUUAGUAUCGAUGUAAGACUACUAAUUCCGAGCAUUUAAGUCAAGUCAAAGAUGCAUUAUGGGCACUUAAUUCAAUGUUUUGUUAUGUAAGUACUUUAUCACCAACAAUGUCCUUACGUGAAGUUUCAUUAUCAUGUUAAUAUGAUAUGUGGUUGUGAACUUGCUUUAUCACCAACUAAAAAUUCAUCGCGAUGAUUACGUACUUACAAUCAAUAGUCGUGAAAUCUUAUCACGCUAUAUAGUACCUACAAACAAACAAGCAAGAGUAGGAUAAAAGGAGAGAAAAUCUCCCUUAGUUAUUCAAGUUGAAAUGAAAUAACCUGAAAACUUUACCUCAAAUACAUGUUUAUCUAAAAGUUAAGACCAGGGGGUCGAUGUCCAAAAUCGGUGGCCAGGAGGCGGAUUCGGGGACAAAGGUCGAGGGCUAGAAGCCUAAUUUUAGGGCUCGGUCGCCGGAAAAAUUUAAAUAAGGACUAGAAUUUUUUGAGUGGUGGUUGCUAUCAGCUCAAGAGCGUGCUAAUAACGUGUUGAAGGAGAAACACUAAAAGUAAAGAGACAACCAAGUAGAUUGAAGAACUAUCUUUUACUCAUUGAUAGGAGCUUCCAUUAUAUAGAGGAUUACAUAAUACGUUUUAGGUACGUAGAAGGAAAUAUAAUCAUAUUCUAUCUGGUAAACCUAUCACUACAUGAAAUUGUAAUUCCUAUUCCUAAUUAGACCAAGGCACACAAAGUAAGUUAUCCUAUAACAAGAUGAGAAUUAUGAGAUUUUUGUGAGAUUUAUCGAUCCAUUUAAAAGGUAUAAAUUAAAGAGGUCAAACAUUACACAAUAGUUCAUCCUAUGAAGGGCCCGUCAAGAUCGAGCUAUCGACAAAUUCCCAAUACCUGAACCUAGAAUUCUAAGUAAGGCAGUCAUGGAUAUUAGCUAUGCACCUAAAAAAACAAGUAACCAAUGACAUUGCUAAGUCAAACAAAAAGAGAAUUGAAACACUUAUAUAACUUAAUCAUAAUGCUUAUGGAGCUCCCUACACAUAAUUAGAGCACAUGCACCAAUGAGGUGAAAAAUGGGUUGGAUAAAAGAUUGGACCAAAAACAGCUUCCACUCAUGAUGAAUUAGAUUGGGCUAGACGUAGGUCCUACAUGGGACACACAUGACCGGGGUAAUAGGUGGGUUAAUUCUCAUCCCAACGAUUAGUCUGGACCAAUUCGAUUGUGGACCCACAAUCACAUGAAUUUGCACAUAGAAUCAAAUAUGUUUUCCCUUUUCAAUUAAUUUUCUUUGUGUGGUGUUGUUUGUUUUAAUAUAGUACUCGUAAGUGCACGAACCAAUUAUAGAAUAAAAAGUGUAAGCACGAGGUCGUUCCCUCCAUGGAUUGAUUAAAACAAUUUACUAUGUCAAUUAUACUACACCUAAUGAAAUAAACACACUGAUUUUAUGAUGUUGAUGAAUGAAAACAUAAAACUAAAGUAAUAAAACUGAAAUUAAAGACAAGAGAACAAUGAAAUUUCUAAGAGUUGAAACAUAGAUUAUGAAGAUGCUAAAGCAUUGAAUCCACCACCUAAUACUUCUACCCUGGCCUCCUCUCUAGUUGAUAACAAUUGAAGUCCCUAGAUUGCAUGCUAAAAAUUUCCGUACAUAAGCCUUAUUGAUCCCGGACAUAUGCCAAAGUUCUUCUAAACAAUGAAUUUUAACUUAUUAAUCCCGUAUAGAACUUAAGUAGUCAAACUAUAAUCUACUUCAUGUUAUGAUCAAGUUUAAGUAAAACAUGUUCGACUCCAUUAAGCACAAAAGAAUUAGGAAAUCAUGUAAACAAGAAUAUCGACUAUGAUCAAGCACUUGUAUUCUUAACUUACAACUCUCUAAUCACAAGAUUAAAAUAAUCUUUUGGAACCCUAGAAAACAUCUACUCUCGAUCAAGCCUCAUGUUUUUAAACUGUUUCUGCAUAAUCCCGAGGACUACGUAGAAUCACGGUGGAACAGACAAUCAUGUACAAGAGACACAAGGACAUAUAGUGGUUCACCAUGCCAUCGGAGGACAUGACUAUGUCCACUUAAGAUUCCACUAUAUAUCAUGGCCAAUAUGCCUUUGGUAUUACAAGAGCUCUCCAAGAUGGAGUGAUUGGCAUCCAUCCUUUCUACAUAUGGGAAGCCUUCUUUUUAUAGUUAAGAAAUGUUCCCUCUUAUUACAUGUUACCAAUGUGGGACAAAGUAUACUUAACUAUUAUGAAUGUGUCUUCUUAUGGAGCUUGGAGGAACACUUUCCCAAUGUGGUACGGAUGAUAUUUCACCAUGGAGAGGUAGCCUGGAUGUUGGUCUACUGGAAGUAUGUCGGGGGCGGGGCCCUGCGUGGCUGGAAAACGGUCUACGAGGUCGUUGCUUAUGCUUGCGGUAUAUCUACAUACAACAUGUUCCCCCAACUCCCGAGUAAGAGGACCAUUUUACUUGGAGAGUUAUAAAUAAAUGGUAUGCCGUCAAGCAUAAGUAACGACCGAGUAACGGCAUACACCCCAUGUCCCCCCAACUCUCUAAGGAAGAAUGUUCUCUUACUCGAAAUUAUUUCCCUCUUCCCCUUUCUCACGAUUUUCUUCUCUUUUUGAAGGGAGUGACAAGAUUCACUAUGUCCCCCAAGUCUUGCUCGGGUGUUUUUCCAUUUUUGGCACAUAGGUGUUAUCCCCGGUGUUGCUUUCUAUUUGCUAUACUACCGAUGAAUUUGGUACUUGGGCGGGUAGUGCUCAAUGUGAUUCUCGGGUCUUGCUUGUUGAUAUUCUCUACUUUUGAUGCAUUGGUCUUGUUCUUUUUACACAUGGGUGUUACUCGGGUGUUGUCUUUACUUGCUUAUUCCGGGUCUUACUUUUUUUUGAUAUACAUCGUGAUUUUUAAGUUCGUCAAUAAGACAAAAAAUGUCCCUCCCAACCCCCGGCCUAAAAAAUUAUUCGGCUGGGUGAGGAGAAUUACUCGGUCGAGCGAGGUGUUUGCAUGUUUCCAAUGGCAAGGUACCGUUGGUUCCCCUUCUACGACCAUCCGGAUGUUACGUUUUUCCACGAAAAAAGGUAGCGAGCCUUUUUCAUAUCCUGUGUUACCACUUGAGUGACGGGGUGUUAACGGCGCCUGUGGUUUAUUAAGCCACUUGCUCCGUUUUUAAAGGGAUGAUAUAAUCUCGGUGAAACUCACCCGAGGUGGAUUGCCUAUCUCGAUGGAAUGCUUAUCUCGGUGGAAUGCCUAUCCCGCUUGGUGUUACUCGGGAUUUCAAUAACUUAUGCCUCUCGGUGGAUUACAUAUCCCUCUUGGUGUUACUCGGGAUUUUCAAUAACUUAUACCUUUCGGUCGAUUACCUAUCCCUCUCGGUGUUACUCGGGAUUUCAAUAACUUACGCCUUUUGGUGAAAUGCUGAUCUUGGUGGAAUGCCAAUCUCGAUGGAAUGCUAAUUUCGAUGGAUUGCCUAUCUCUCUCUUGCUUAAUACUUUCUUGCAAGCUUGCCGAGUCCAAUCUUGGAGACUUGGAACUCCUUAUAACCCAACGGUGUUUCCAAUCUAAUCAUGAAGACUUAGACUCCCAUAUCCUGAUUGUGUUUCCAAUCCAAUCGUGAAGACUUGGAACUCCCUUUGCAACGUCCGGGAGGCAAAAUAAGAUAUCAAUAUAGAGUAUGUACAUUUCCCUCAAACAAAUUUGAAUGGACAAUAGUGAUCAUGGACUGCCCGUAUUAGUUACAACAAUGGUAUGGCGAUGAUAUCGUGUUUUAAUUGUGGAACAUAAUCACCAAAAAUUUUCCAAUUGUAACUUGGAGUGCCUCAUUGGUGUCAUACUAGUAGUAUGCCAUAACCUGCAUGCAUACUUCCCCAAACUCAUAUCAGAUUGCCAUAGUGUCUUAUCACUUGCAUGCAUACUUCCACAAAUUCAUAUAAGAUAUUGUUGUAUGUAAUGGUGAAAUAAACUGCAUGAGUCAAGACCCACCCCGAAUUUUAUCCUGAAACCUGAAGUAAGUCUUGCGGGGUUCACCUCCAAGGAAAAUUUACUGAAAAAUUCGGCAGAACCUCCCUUGAAAAUAGACAACCCUAACCUAAAAAAUUCGAAAAUAACACUCCUAUAACAACAUAAAACCAUCCUCAACUCCUGGAGCCACCCGCUCCCCACAUCGCAACCACCACAAUAAGACAAUACAACCAUCUUCCAAUCCAUCACAUAAAUAUCCAAUUAAAAAUAACAAACUUCAACAUUUAAAUAUUCCAAAUUUAAAUCUAAGAUUUAGCACACAACCGAACUAAUAUACGUUAUCCUCAAGGUAAUCAGAGCCGCUAAAACUAAAGGAAGCAAGAAAAUACGCUGGUAGGUUAACAGGUAACCUACUGGUGAAAGGUGAUGGAGAAAUGGGUAACUACGCCUUGCCUCUUACUAGUGUCAACCCAAACUCUGCAGACUGGACAUUUAUAAAACGAAGGGCCCAGGGGAAAACAUUCGAAAAUAUUAGAGUGAGUGGACAAAAACAAAUUUAACAAAAAUAAUUAUGCAUUCCCAAUUUAAUUUCCAUAGAAAAAUGCUGCAUGCGACAAUUCAAAAGCGCUCAACUCAUACACUGACAAUUUAAUGACUAGCUCCGGCUAAUCUCCAAAAUUUAAUAAAAUAGAGCCUCUCAGGCUAAAUUAUAUAUAAACAUAUACAUGUAUGUAUUUACAUUCGUCAGAUUCUUUGUAUGAAUUCUAUGAAAUAAUUAAGAAAGAUAGAAAUUCAUACAAGGCUACGACGCUGGCGUCUAACGCUCACGUCGCGCCAUAAUGAAAUUUUCCCUCAUUAUAACGGAACUAGACGGAUGUAUAUACGUGCAGAUCCCCUAUAUGAAAUCCUAGACGAAAAUAUAAGAAAGUAGUUUUCAUAUAGGGCCAAGACGCCUGUGUCUAACGCUCACGUCAUAAUGGAAUUUACCUCAGUAUGACGGAACAAGCACGUAUGGCUAGCUAGCAUUUAUUAUACAUGCUAUCCUCACAAUAUCCACAUACAUAUUUACUGAAAAUCUCAUUUCGGUAAGUCUCAAAAAUAAUGAAAAUUGCCAAAUAUCUGAAAAAUAAUAAAUCUCAGCAGAAGGAUAACUGAUCAACAACAUAAUGCAUCACAUGCUUUUAAAUUAAAACAAAGUCCACUCACAAAUUAGGCCUAAGCCUGAUGUCGAUCCGAGACCUCUUCUGCUCGAGUCUCCUCACGUCCUAUUCCAAAUAUAUAAUUAAUUUCCCAACUAAAAAUCCAAUAUUUAUACAAAAUAGACAAACUUAAACGUGAGUCAUAACCAUGCUCAUCAUUGCCUGACUUCGAUAUUCCUAAUUCGAUACGGUCCACACCUCAACACCAAAACCAGCAACCUUAUUUACUACCUUCCAUAGAUUAAACAACUUUAAUCAAACUGCCGGAUUCUAUCCUAAUUAACCGCCAAAAUAUCAAACUUUGGAAAAAUCCUAAACCUAUCCAAAACUCCUUCAAAAAUUCCAAACUUCACAUCAUUAUACUCCUCUUAAAAAUACACAUUUAAAACCAUGAAAAUCCCCUAAACAGCAGCGGCGGUCGGAGGCCUAUUCCGGCGACCUCCAAUGCCUACCAAAUUUUAAAAGUAUCUUCCUCUCAACCCACUCUAUAACUUUCCUAACUAGCACCAACACUAAUUCCGAGCCUAACUAGGUCAAUUGAACAAAAACAUAGAAUUGAGCCUUAGAACUUCCACUCAACAUUUCUCCUUACCUAGCUCAAGAGGGAGUGGCUCCUUUUGAGGGAUUACUGCACGGGAGGAGGGAUUUCAAACGAGCCAAGUAGCUCCGGCUAUGGCAGCCGGAGGAGGGAGUUUCGGCGAGAAGACAGGCGGCCCCCUUGGGCGAGUUUCUUCCCGAUCGGCAGCACUAGGGGUCUGGUCACCUACCCAGAAAUGGAGAGGAGGAUACAACAGACUGAAUGUGACCGGAGCGGCGGUCUCAGGCGGCCAGACGGUGACGGACGGGCGAGAAGAAAAUCCGAUAGGGAGAGGGCUCGGGGAGAGAGUCGGGUGGAAGAGAAAAAGAAGAGAGAAGAGAAAUGAUUUUUGGGCCUCCCAUCACCAAACCGGUCCAACAUCCUAAUACCCACACCAAUUAACAACUCAACUCCACAAAUAACACCACAAAAAUAAUACCCUACUAAAAAAUUACCUUUUACUAGCUAAAAUUUACCAUUUUUACCGUCAUCACAUUUUUCUCCUAUGAAUAAUCCUCCGAAACAAUCGUCCCCCGCAACCUCGCUAGGGACCAUUUAAACUAUAAACUCAUUUACGAAGACGGCAAAACUCUUAUUAAUCCCAACUUAGUAAAUAAGGUAAAAAUUUAAGAGUCGGGAUGUGACAGCAUGUGCAUGAGCAGUGUGUUCUCAUCUUAUCAAUACGUGGUACCAAAUUAACAUACGUACUACCACAUCGUGCAUAUAAAGAUAGCUAGUAGAACCUAUCACAAAUAUUUCUGUAAGCAUGCUGAUAAGAAUCCAAGCUGAGAAGAUAUCAUGCAUACGUGAAGCAUGCUUUGAGGUUCAUAAAAGGCGAUCAAAUGAGGGACUUAUCUGUGAAAAUAGUUGCCAAAUGGGUGCACAGAGGAGGUACGGUAGUGUAGACUUUUAUGUUAGUAUCCCGUAGAGUAAAAUCAUGUUGCGUGGUGUUGUAUCUCUGGCCUGCCCCUUCUUUUUUUUUUUUUUUGGCGAAAGCCACCGAGACUCGAUGAUUACCAAUUUUUCCCACUACUGCAUGUGGAUUAGACCGUGAGGCAUCAAGCCUUCAUCAUUAUACCAGAGAGUUGUUUUUCUGACCAAGAUGGGAUCAACAGGUCACACACAUGCCUCAUGAAGUUAGCUCCUGGGCAGUGCUUGACCAGUUAGCUGCAAUCGGUAACUGGGUUAGCGAGAUCAACUAGCUCCCGGGGUGUUCAAGAAAGGAGACACGUUUUCCCGGUGACAUUUACCAACAAGAUAACGGAGCUGUCGGGCAUGCUGACCAAGGCGAGAAACUCAAAGCUAGAUUUUCGGUGUUCUAGCUCCCUCUCGUUGAUGAAACCAACGGGUAUAGUUGUUUCUGGCUUGAACUCCGGUCAUCGGAUCUGUGAACUGUCCCCACCGGGCCACCUGUCAAAUCAAUGGGUUGUCAAAUUGAUAAAGGCUUGGUGAGUAACUCCUUUGGGAGUAGGAGGCCGGAGGCCCGUCCGGAUGAUCCCGGUGGCUUGCGCUCUACGGAAUAGUGUACAAAUCAACUUCUCGGUGCGUAUAGCAACUCUCUAGGGGCCUAUCUUUUGCUUUUCCUUUAGUUACAAAGUCUUCUUGUUGCUGCCCCUCAUAUGAGUUCCCGGGCAUGACCUUUUUUUUUUUUUUCUUAAGACUCUUAUUUUCCCAGAUGUCCUCAUCAUGAACGCUCUAGCCAUGGAAAAAGCAAAGCUAUAGAGAAGAACUAGUCCUUGAUCACAACCAUUCACUCAAAUCUCUGUCAAAUCUCUUUUCUUUGUCCAUAGGUGGAGCUUUUUGGAAACUCAAUUUUAUGUUUGAGAUGCUUCGAUUUGGUGCCAUCAGUAGGGACCAAUUUUGGGUACGGGCCGGAUAGCACAUCCUUGUAAAAUUCCUCUUGGAGAUCCAUGCUUUUCACGAGAGAUACGAGUCUCCAAGAUGCAUGGUAAAUACCCAAUAUAAGUCUGGUGUUUUUUUUUCAUCUCGUUGACAUAGACCUUUAGACCAAACGGCCAGUGAGUGAUGGGUUCCCGCAUGGCUUCUCCGGUACCUCAGUAGAUCAUUGAAUGCGAUGGACACAAAUACUUCAUCAAUCCUCCCGGUGAUCCUACAAGAGAGCCCCUUGCCCUUUCUAUUGCCAUACCGGCCGAUCGGUGGUGCCUGCCCGAGAACUAUCGCCUGAAGAGCUCGACGAAUCCGAAGCGAGCAGCGGGAGGAGUGGGUCGUCACUGGCGAAGCUCCCGGCCGACAUGACUAAUCUAUCUUGGCGAUUGCGUGAACUCCGGGUCCCGUUGAAUCAUCUCCAGGUGAUGGCUGGAGGCGCCGGUCGCAAGCCGUGAUCGUUUGGCCUUGGUGACAACCCGAAGAUAAAGAAAACCUAGGCAGGUCAUCCAAUCCCCUUGGUGGCUUAGGCCUGCAUAUUGCCUCCUGAUGGGUUAGACCCGAGCAAUGCCUCAUGAUGGGUAGGGCCGGAUGGCUUAGGCUUGCAUACUGGAUACCUUGGGCUGACCUCCUUGCAUGAGCUUACUGGUAGAGCAACAAGACUUUUAGUACUGGUUCCCACAGACGGCGUCAAAUGUUUCUGCAUAAUCCCGUGGACUAUGUAGAAUCACGGUGGAACAGACAAUCAUGUACAAGAGACGCAAGGACAUAUAGUGGUCCACCAUGCCAUCAGAGGACAUGGCUACGUCCACUUAAGAUUCCACUAUAUAUCAUGGCCAAUAUGCCUUUGGUGUUACAAGAGCUCUCUAAGAUGGAGUGAUUGGCAUCCAUCCUUUCUACAUAUGGGAAGCCUUUUUUUUAUAGUUAAAGAAUGUUCCCUCUUAUUACAUGGUACCAAUGUGGGACAAAAUGCACAUAACUAUUAUCAAGGUGUCUUCUUGUGGAGCUUGGAGGAACACUUUCCCGAUGUGGUACGGAUGAUAUUUCACCAUGGCGAGGUAGUCUGGAUGUCGGUCUACCGGAAGUAUGUCGGGGGCAGGGCCCUUCGUGGCUGAAAAAUGGUCUACGAGGUCGUUGCUUAUGUUUGCGGUAUAUCUAUAUACAACACAAACCAAAUAACUAAUAAACAAAACCUAGGUCUUAUUCAUCCCGAGCAAAGAUUUUGAAUAAAAGUUCUAUUGAAACAAUGAUUGAGAAUUUAACAUAGCAAUCCAUGAAUUCAAAAGCAAAUCAACUAAAGAAAUAGAGUAAUCAUACUAGGGGCUUCAUCUCAGCCCUAGCUAGAAGUUUAGAAAUCCAUAGACAAAAAAAACAUGACUAAAAAUAAAGAUAGCAUGGAAGAAACAAUAGAAGAGAUAGGAACUCGGGUUGAGCGAUGGUGAGGUUAUGUUCUUCUUUUUCUUCUCUGCCAAUAUUGUUGCGUCUCUGUUUUGUUUUAACGUCCUUUAGGGUUUUACUUUUAUUCCUCUUGAAAUCCCAAUUGAUUUGAGCUUUUCGGACUCUCUUUGUCCAAUAUGGAAUAGUUUUCUUCUCUCCAAAUAACACAAGGUUAUUAUCGUCAAUGCAAGAGUAACCUUCCAAAUAUGUGGACACGUUCAGCCUCUUUCCUUGUAGUAUUAAGAUUGAUGGACUUAGGCUUCAUAAAUUGGAAUCAUGAGAAGAAACACAAAAUUCGUCCAAAUCUGCCUCCACGUGCUGUGUUCAAUCAAAUAUUCAUAACUUGCUCUAGAAAAAUGAAAAUCCACUUCCGUAAAAUUCUUCAGAAAGCUAACAUCCGUAGCUUUCCAACGGUGUAUGGCUCCCCUCCAGAUUCCUUGUGAGCAUGUAUAGUUUAAUCCUCAAAGUUGAUGCACAGCAGGGCAGUUUCUGGAUCACUCGGGAUAGAAAACACCUUUGCAAUCCUCAGUUCGACUUUUAGCUCCAAAUUCUCUUUUUCUCCAACUUGACCUACAAAACAUAAAAACCAAUUAAAUGACUCACAGACAAGAACUAAACAUAUAAUCCUGCAUUUAAGGGUAUAGAAAUACGAAAGUUCUUCAGUGCACCAUGGUUCAAGUGAACUAGUAGUCACUCACCAAUCACAAUCAUCCAUUUAAUUCAGUCAACUACGUGACACUAACAUCGAUAUUAACACCGUAAAAAAAAAUUGAGACAAAGAAAACACAAUUAAUAUGGUAAACACACUUAAGGCUAGAGUAAAUGUAAAGCUAGGGUAAUAAUAAUAAAUAAAUAAAAAAAGAAAGACUUAGUCCGCCGUUGUCAGCACCCAUCUCCAACAAGGACCUCGACUCUUGCGGAUUCCACUUCCACCUCCAUCGCACCACCGCCGACUGCAACAUCGACCACCUUAGCAAGAUCCUCAUUGCCGUCGGGUUCCCCAAGCGCGAUUACACGCACGAAGAUCAGAUUUUUUUCUACCCGGAUCGUCGACUCGUUGACCCACAACCACAACCCGAGGGUUUCUUUUCUCCGGUAGGGCAUUUCCGCGGCAGACCAUUGCCACUGCCGUUAGAUUCUUUUUGCCAUAUACUUCGACCGGCUACUCUCUCUCUCUCUNNNNNNNNNNNNNNNNNNNNUCUCUCUCUCUCUCUCUCUCUACGCAUGCCUCGCCGGCCCCUCCUUCCCUUCCACGGUGACUCUCAUCCAGGUGGGGUGGAAUUGGCGGUGUGCCGGCGUCGUCGGGUGGGGUGUCUAGGGUUGAACUUGGGAGGCAAAGGGUGGAGAGGCUGGGUUAUGGGAAUUUGGGAAGAUGCAAUGUGUAGUUUCCUUCGAUGAGAUAAAAAGUAUUUUGGAUUUUUAGAUUUUACUGUAGUUUCAUUUUUUUGGUUGUUAACCCAAUUUGUUUUUCUGUUAAUAUAGAUGGGUGGUUCAGGUGCACUGAAUCUGCUCCGAUAAAAAUAUAUGAAAUAUGAAUCUAUUAUGUGGCCCACCAAAGAAUAACACAAUUACUACUAACUACAAUUUGGAGUCUAUAUUUACCACCAGCAGACUUGUAUUAGUUUUUUCCCGUCGGCCGGCUACACUGACGGAAAUCGUUAACACUGUCGUCUCCCUAAAAUCCUCUCUCUCUCUCUCAACACCAUCAGAAUCACCACCUCCGACCUCGAUGUCCAGCUUGUCCUCGAUCUGCCAUCGACGGCGCCGACGAGGUCGACCUUCACUUGCGGUGACGAGUACCAGAUCUGGGCAACGAUGUGUGCAGAACGAUGAGGUCGCCUCCUCGCAUCCUCCGAUCACCGAACGACGAUGCUUAAGUGGGUCAACGACGCCAGAAAUUGAACUUGAUCACCUGUAUGUUUCUUGCAACGCCGUGGUUGCCGGAAUCGGCCUCAAAUCUGGGUUCUCAUCUUCGAUUCUGGAAACAACUUUUUCGGCCCCGAAUGUGCUUAUGGUGAUUUUGGGCUUUUAAUUGGUUACGUUACCAUUGGGAAAAAAACCUUUGCGUAUUUUAAUUCUACUGACCCUCAAUGCUGACCUUCUAAUACUACUAAUCCUCAGCAUUCUACUGACCCUCAAUACCGACUUUAAACAUGCAGUUGUAUUCCAAUCAUCGCUACUAAGUGAAAUUGAAAAUUUAAUGCUACUGACCCUCCAGACUACUGACCUCUAAUGCUACUGACCUUCAAAACCCAGAUUCUAUUCAAGGCAAAAGGAACUUCUACAAUUGAACCUUCACUGCCCAGAACUGAAAUUGAAACUCCCUUUUUGGAAUUAUACUUUUAAGCGUCCCGAUCCCUGACCACGCAUCGACGUCGAGGAGUGGGCGAAGGAGACGAUCAAUUGAUCGGAGGCGGCGGGAUAAUCGAGGUGGCAGUGGAGGAGCCUAGACGAAUUCCUUCAGGAACUGCUCGAAGGUCCACUCAGAGACGCUUGAUUCAUGGGGAGAGACGGCGAGGAGGCCCAGAAAGAGUCGGAGUGUCGGAGAUUUCGUUGGCCGGGAACGCCGAGAGAGAGAGAGAGAUCUGAUUUCGAGAUCUAAUUCUGAGAGUAACGGCAGGUAAACCUGUCUGUUAGUUUCGCCUGCGCACGAGAAUAAUGAGAAGGCAGCUUGCUAUUGGUAAAUAAAGACAAAUGUGUAUGAGAAGGCAGCUUGUUGUUGAAUCGUUGAACCGAUGAUCAAAUAUUAAGUUGAAUGAAUAGUGCAUUAAUCCGGUUAAAAAUUAGUCUAACUCACACAAAAUAGGUGCAUUUGCUCUAAGCGAUAUCUGAUGUUUUAUACCGUAUUUUCUUAUUAUAAAAGUUGCAAUCCUUUGGGACAUCUGAUUUUUUUUUUAGUGUGACUGAACAGUAUCUCAGUCACUAAUUAAUGAUUAAUUUAUUUUUUGUUAAUGCAUGCUAAUCCAAAUUAGGGUACUACUCCCCUGUCAUUGAUCUGUUUUAUUCUCCUUAAACAAUGAUCUUAUGACUUAGUCAACGACACUAAGUCAUGUUAACGCGAACUGUCUUGUAUUUAGUAAUGUUCUCUCCCUAGUUUAUUCUUUUGAUUAUGGGAAAUCAAGGAGCGAGAUUUGAAAUUGGAAUCCGAUUGGAUCGAUAUCAUGUAAAUGAAUACUACCUCAACACCAGUUUUGGAUUUGAGGUAAAACAUAUCUCUAUGAGGCAUUAUUGUAUCACCAACUUGUGUGAGCGCAAGGUGAGCACAAGGUGUUCGAUGAAAUGUCUCAAUGAAAUUAAGACGAGUUCUCAGACAAGUAAAACAAAUUCGUUUUUGACCUACAUCUUACCAGACUUACCCGUCCAAAGAAAAAUUCUCAGAUCCUCCACUAGCUACUACGCAUGUCAUCAGAUCAUCAAUGUAAGUAACUAUGUAAGUAUCUGUCUAACUGUCUUAGUUGGUAUGCUAAUAGAGUAAUAGGCAUUAGCUGGUUCAUACAAGACUGCUAGUGGCUUAUUUCUAUUACCUUUAGUUUAUUUAAAAACCACGACUUUCUGUUCAAUAUUUCAGUUCAUAAUGACUUGCUUCAGCUAUAAAAUUAAUGGGAUGCAGCUUUCCUUGCUUCAUAUGUUAUGUUUCAUGGCUGCAAGUGGGCACAAUGAGCAGUUGUACACUACAAAAUCUGUGUAUGUAUGCAUAUAAAUUAAAGUCUGAUAACAGUUUUCGUUUAUAUCAGACUCCCUCAAUUUUAUAGACUUGCUUUCAGCACUAACAUCCAUGGAAUGCAACUAUAUUGGAUGAAAGUUACAGAAGAGCUUUGUGGGUUUUUGGUUUGUUAUGAAGAAUGUGUAGACCAGUGGAGGUUUGCGGGGAACGAUAUGAGUAGUAGUGCAAGUAUGGUUGAGCAGUUUUGACAUAUGUGGAGAAGCGAGGAUACUUCAAUGGAAGCUUUCUCCAAGUCUUUUCGUGAAGAAGAUGAUGAAGAAUCUCUCAAUUGGGCUGCUAUUCAGAGAUUGCCUACCUUUUUACGCAUAAGGAGAAGUAUACUUGCUGAUCAGGAGGAGGGUAAAGCCAGAGAAAUUGAUGUCAAGGAUCUUGGAUUAUUAGAGAGGAAGAAUUUGUUGGAGAGGUUAGUGAAGAUUGCAGAGGAAGAUAAUGAGAAGUUCUUGUUCAAGCUCAGGGACCGCAUGAAUAGGUAAAUAAUCAUCAAUGGCCGGCUUGCUUGACAAAUGAAAAUAAUAUAAAAAAACUAUGUGUCUACAUGUGUAUGAAGAAUUUAAUUCUCUUGUUGUUUGUUUGAAUUCAAACUUUCUAAACUCAGAGUUGGACUUGAAUUUCCAACAACUGAAGUGCGGUUCGAGCAUUUGAACGUUGAAGCAGAAGCUUAUGUAGGAAGCAGGGCAUUACCUACGAUGUUCAACUUCUCCAUUAAUAUGAUAGAGGUAUCUAAUUACUUCAUGUGCAUGCAACUGUAUGUUUAGUGAUGGGUUCUUGCUUCUAUAAGUCGCUCAGAUAUUUUUUCCUAGUUCAUCACAUUCAGUUAUCGCUGUUUUCUCUCUGUAGCGGCUCUUGAACUUCAUUCAUCUUCUUCCUAGUAGAAAGAAACCUUUGCCAAUCCUACAUGGUGUAAGUGGAAUAAUCAAGCCAAGAAGGUAAUUAGGCAAUGCUGAUGCAAGUUCAUCAACAUGGAUCAUUCUCUAAACCUUUUCUCAUAUUAGUGGUCUGGUUUCUGCAGAAUGACACUGCUUUUAGGACCUCCAGGCUCUGGAAAAACCACAUUGCUACUGGCAUUGGCCGGAAAGCUUGGUAAAGAUCUUAAAGUAAGUGUUCUAUAACACAUAAUAUUAGACUAUUAGUAGGCUAUAUCUUAGUGUUUUCACCUUGUGAUUUGGUAUUAGUAGGCUAUAUCUAGUGUUUUCGACUUUUUGCCUUGUGAUUUGGUAUCAUUUCUCAUAAUAACAUAGAGAUCUGGAAGAGUUACAUACAAUGGACUCGGUAUGGAUGAGUUUGUACCACAGAGGACAGCAGCUUACAUUAGUCAAUAUGAUCUUCACUUACCAGAGUUGACUGUGAAAGAAACUCUUGCUUUUUCAGCAAGAUGUCAAGGGGUCGGACCACGUUAUGGUUGGUUACAAUAACCUGAAAGUUGGACUUCUAUACUAAUCUAGUAUGCAGAGAAUUCUUAAUCUGAUCGAGUUAAUUUGCUUUCAUGAAAUUUCCAGAAAUGUUGGUAGAACUAUUAAGAAGGGAAAAGGCUGCAAAUAUUCUGCCAGAUUCAGAUCUUGAUGUCUACAUGAAGGUAUAUGAGAACAAGAAAGAUUUAGAUAAUUUAUACAAGUUUCGGCUAUGUUUUAUUUAUAUCAUCAUGUUUCUCUAAAGGAGCAUUUUCAUUUCAAUGGCUCUUAUAUUUUGCAGGCAGCAGCACUGGAAGGACAAGAAACCACUGUGAUUACAGAUUAUAUACUCAAGGUACCUACUGCUCAUCUAAGUAAAUGCCUUGCAUAUAAAGAUACAUACAACUUUUAUAUCCUUCAUAUUUAUAUGCUUAGAGAAUUUGCAAAUGUUGAGCUAAGAUAUGUUAUUUCUGAUAAUCUGCAGGUUUUGGGACUUGAAGUUUGCGCUGACACCAUGGUAGGCGAUCAAAUGAGACGAGGCAUAUCUGGUGGCCAAAGAAAGCGACUCACCACAGGUAGAGCAUAGAACAUUAGAACUUGUAGAUUGAACUUGAACCAGACCCGAAAUUGUGCCACAGUUCUCUUACUCUAUGAUUUUAACAACAUACUUGAUUAGAUGAUUAAGCUGAUAUACUUCUAAUAAAAUGCUCAGGGGAAAUGCUUGUUGGGCCAGCAAGAGCACUUUUUAUGGAUGAGAUAUCAACUGGCUUGGACAGUUCAACAACAUUUCAGAUAGUAAAUUCAUUAAGACAGUCCAUUCACAUUCUCAAUGGAACUGCUGUAAUCUCUCUCCUGCAGCCCGCACCAGAAACUUAUGAUCUCUUUGAUGAUAUAAUUCUCCUCUCAGAUGGGCAUAUUGUGUAUCAAGGUCCUCGUGAAAAUGUGCUUGAGUUCUUCCAGUACAUAGGCUUCCAAUGUCCCGAGAGGAAAGGAGUCGCUGAUUUCCUCCAAGAAGUAGGUCACUUAGGCUUAUAUCCUAAAAUUAAUUUCAUUGUUUUCACAAGAGAGAUUGGACUGAUUUAUUUUGGUUCUUCAAUAACAGGUGACAUCGUGGAAAGAUCAGGAGCAAUAUUGGAGCCAUAAAGAUAAGUCUUAUAGCUUUGUCACGUCCAAGGAAUUUUCUGAAGCAUUGCAGUCAUUUCAUAUUGGUCAAAAACUCGGUGAUGAGCUUACUAGACCUUUUGACAAGUCUCGAGGAAACCCUGCGUCUUUGACUACUGAGAAGUAUGGUGUUAGCAAGAGCGAACUUUUUAAAGCUUGUAUGUCUAGACAUUAUUUGCUUAUGAAGAGGAACUCGAUCGUCUACAUUACCAGAAUGACAAUGGUAAGAAAUUUCAUCAUUGAAAAGAUUUAAUUAAGCACUGGUGAGAAGUGAACAUACAUUUUCAACCUACAAUAUCAUUCACUUUAAAAACUUAUAUUGGUUUUGCUUUCAGUUCCUUAUAACUGCUUUUGCCACAAUGACACUAUUCCUACGGACUGAGAUGCACCGGGAUACUGUAGAUGAUGGUGGCAUAUAUAUGGGAGCUAUGUUCUUCACAAUGAUGGUAAUUGUAUUCAAUGGAUUCUCAGAGCUUGUUAUGACGAUCAUGAAACUUCCUGUGUUUUUCAAGCAAAGGGACCUGCUCUUCUAUCCUGCUUGGGCAUACUCUUUACCAACCAUGAUUAUAAGAAUCCCCAUGACCUUUGUGGAAGUUUCCAUUUGGAUGGCCAUCACUUACUACGGUAUUGGUUAUGAUCCAAGCAUUGAAAGGUAAAAAGUAAAAAUAUUCUAGAAAUUAUAUGUCGAAUUUUUGGGUCAGAAUCAUCUCUUAUAAAUUUUGCCGAAAACUUGUAACUACAGGUUCUGCAAGCAGUUCCUUUUACUCGUAUGCAUUAGCCAGAUGGCAACUGGACUGUUCCGUUUGAUAGGCGCAUUAGGAAGGAACAUGACUGUUGCAAACACAUUUGGAUCUGUUGCUUUACUAUUCAUUUUUGUUCUGGGUGGCUUUUUGUUAUCACGAGGUGAAUCAUUCAUAAGAUUCAACCAGAGUAGUUGAUUAUAGUUUAAUUUUUUACUUUAACUUAAUAUGAAUAUUGAUGUUAAAAGAUGACCCUUUGUGUUCCAGAGGAGAUGAAGAACUGGUUGCUGUGGGGAUAUUGGCUCUCACCGAUGAUGUAUGGAAUGAAUGCAAUGGCUGUCAAUGAAUUUUUUGGAAAGAGUUGGAGUCGUGUAAGCAUCGUUUUUCAAUUCAAAAGGCAAGAACAAGAUCAGGUUAGAAAAAUCUGGUAAAUUAGCUAACAAGUAUAUCCUAUUGUAGGUUCCACCCAACUCAACUGAAUCGUUGGGAGUUAUGGUCUUAAAGUCUCGAGGGGUAUCACCAGAAGCAAGUUGGUACUGGAUUGGAGUUGUAGCUUUAAUUGGAUUUUUUGUUAUGUUCAACUUCCUUUACACUCUGGCACUUCAGCAUCUGGAACGUAAGUAGCCACUCAGUCCUUUUAUCUUUCUUGGAAUAGAAGGAAUUAAAGUUCUCACAAUCAAAUCAAAUCAUGCAGCACUUGAUACGCCUCAGGCAGUAUUGUCCAAAGAUUCCUUAGCAAUGAAACACGCUGUGAAAACUGGAGAGAGCAUUGAGCUAUCGGCAACAAGAAAGAACUCUACAGGUGGAUUCAUAAUUCAAGCUCAUUUUAUGUUCAUCUCUACCUUGUGGAUGUCCAGGGUUACUCAAGUUUCUAUGGUGUAACAAUGCAGGAGUAGGGAAAGAAGUUCUAGAGAACAUGUCAGCCAAUCGUUCCUCCAAGCAGCGAGGAAUGAUUCUUCCUUUUCAACCACUCUCGAUUACAUUUUCUGAAAUCAGAUAUGCAAUUGACAUGCCACAGGUAUAAUGUUUGGUCAUUUCUACUGAUAAGCAGCUAGAAUUUUUAGUUUUUUGCACUUACUAUGAGCAGCUUGAAUUGUUCAUAGAUAACUUGCUAUAAAUAUAGUAUCACGUAAAUAUGACACAAAAUACUAAUAUACCAGGUUUCAAUUGUUAUGUUUGUAACAACAAUAUUAUUGCAGGAUUAUAAACUGUUUCCUAUACAUAUAUGCAUGCAGGAAAUGAAAGCUCAAGGAAUCACUGAGCAACUUGAAUUGUUCAGAGAUAACUUACUAUAAAUAUAGCAUCGCAUAAAUAAGACACAAAUACUAAUAUACCAGGUUUCAAUUGUUAUGUUGUAAGGUGUAACAACAAUAUUAUUGCAGGAUUAUAAACUGUUUCCUAUACAUGCAUGCAGGAAAUGAAAGCUCAAGGCAUUACUGAGGAUCGACUAGAACUUCUGAAGGGUGUGAGUGGUUCUUUCAGGCCUGGGGUCCUAACAGCUUUAAUGGGUGUCAGUGGAGCUGGAAAGACUACUUUAAUGGAUGUUCUGGCAGGAAGGAAAACCGGUGGAUAUACUGAAGGAAACAUUACCAUUUCUGGAUAUCCAAAAAACCAGAAACCUUUGCUCGCAUAUCAGGAUAUUGUGAGCAAACAGAUAUACACUCUCCACAUGUUACGGUUUAUGAGUCCUUGGUUUUUUCUGCAUGGCUUCGGUUGUCCCCUGAGGUUGAUUCCCUAACCAGAAAG